GNNGUCGACGAUUCCUACGGGAGGCAGCAGUGGGGAAUAUUGGACAAUGGGCGAAAGCCUGAUCCAGCAAUGCCGCGUGAGUGAUGAAGGCCCUCGGGUCGUAAAGCUCUUUUACCCGGGAUGAUAAUGACAGUACCGGGAGAAUAAGCUCCGGCUAACUCCGUGCCAGCAGCCGCGGUAAUACGGAGGGGGUUAGCGUUGUUCGGAAUUACUGGGCGUAAAGCGUACGUAGGCGGAUUAGUAAGUUAGAGGUGAAAUCCCACGGCUCAACCGUGGAACUGCCUUUAAAACUGCUAGUCUUGAGUUCGAGAGAGGUGAGUGGAAUUCCGAGUGUAGAGGUGAAAUUCGUAGAUAUUCGGAGGAACACCAGUGGCGAAGGCGGCUCACUGGCUCGAUACUGACGCUGAGGUACGAAAGUGUGGGGAGCAAACAGGAUUAGAUACCCUGGUAGUCCACACCGUAAACGAUGAAUGCCAGACGUCGGGUAGCAUGCUGCUCGGUGUCACACCUAACGGAUUAAGCAUUCCGCCUGGGGAGUACGGUCGCAAGAUUAAAACUCAAAGGAAUUGACGG
rnacentral:rRNA from 1 species